rnacentral:rRNA from 1 species
UGGUGGGUAGUUUGACUGGGGCGGUCUCCUCCCAAAGAGUAACGGAGGAGCACGAAGGUUAGCUAAUCACGGUCGGACAUCGUGAGGUUAGUGCAAAGGCAUAAGCUAGCUUGACUGCGAGAGUGACGGCUCGAGCAGGUACGAAAGUAGGUCUUAGUGAUCCGGUGGUUCUGAAUGGAAGGGCCAUCGCUCAACGGAUAAAAGGUACUCCGGGGAUAACAGGCUGAUACCGCCCAAGAGUUCAUAUCGACGGCGGUGUUUGGCACCUCGAUGUCGGCUCAUCACAUCCUGGGGCUGAAGUAGGUCCCAAGGGUAUGGCUGUUCGCCAUUUAAAGUGGUACGCGAGCUGGGUUUAGAACGUCGUGAGACAGUUCGGUCCCUAUCUGCCGUGGGCGUUGGAAGAUUGAGAGGGGUUGCUCCUAGUACGAGAGGACCGGAGUGAACGCACCACUGGUGUUCGGGUUGUCAUGCCAAUGGCAUUGCCCGGUAGCUAAGUGCGGAAAAGAUAAGCGCUGAAAGCAUCUAAGCGCGAAACUUGCCUCAA